UCUCUCCUUGAGAUAUCCUUGUUCAAUAACAUCACAUUAUGCUAUCUCUUUGUGAGUUUAUGUUUCAGGUUCUCAUCAAGUUUUCAUGAAGAACUUUUUGGAGGAGAAUCUUUUCAAGAUGAUAGCCCUACUUGGAUGAUCGUGAGACGAUUCUACAUGGUCAAGCGUAGGUUAGGGGGGUGAAGAUUUAUUACACUAAUGUAAUUAGGGAAUCUACUUUUCCCAACCGCCGGGCGGCUCUGUCCUCAAUCGACGCCUCUCCCGCUCGUCCUGGAACCGGUGUCUCUUCACAGAGCGUCGCGUCUGUCCGGCGAUAUAUAAUCGCUGUAAACAGUAACGAAUGAUCAAGGAAUCUGUUUCGAUUCUAAACAAGAUGGUAUUGAACUGUGUUUUUUAAAUCACGACAGAGGUAGUACUAUUAAUACGUACCGGUGAGCGGGACAGCCAUGCCCAUUCACUCCCGUUGCCGACCAACCCCCUUGCAACGUGUUUCUCUGGGUCCGUCGCCCGGUCGCCGUCUCACGACAACCACGCAACCAGCCGACGAGGAGGCCCCCCUUCCCCUCUUCCUCCCCGCCCACUUGCCCCAUCCUCUCCCUUUCUGCCACGGAGAUUCUUGCCUCCGCCUCUCCUCUCCGGUCCACACCCGCGGAGGCGCCGCGCAGGCCACAGGAGAGGAGGGGAGGUGGCACCUGUUCCUGUUGGGCUUCUUGUCCUCUCAGCUUCCCUUUCGCCGUCGCCACAGAUAGAAUAAGAAUAAUAUCGUCGAUUGAACCAGUAAAACUGAUAUCUUUGCUACUAUUCACCGUGUUCCAAGCCCUCCUUAGUGCCAGCCACGCCCACUUCGUUCGCGCCCUUGCAGCGACCAGUUCUUGCGUCUACUCUUCGCCACGCCGAGGUCCAUCCAUGUACCAAACCACUCUCCUCUCCCUGCAAGAUCCGACUCCGGCCAAGAGAUUUGCUUCUUGAGCCAAGAUCCUGACCUAAGCAGAUAGCAAGAGACGACGAGGGAAGGGGGCGGAAUCAUUCGGAGAGAGGGCAUGGUGGCGGUCGCGGCUGGGAGGCGCCCCGUGCUCAGCCGCCGGAGGUCCGGCUGNNNNN
rnacentral:lncRNA from 1 species